UUAUCAGCAAAAAAGAGUUGGUGGGACAGGCGACAAGUAAAUAAGGAAAGUAUAACUAGCGCAGUAGGCAAAACAGAAGAUUGUAUGAGAUUUCCAAAAAUGAAUGGGUAAACAACAAACGUCGGUUAAUCUUGUGCGAAAAGAGAAAACGGGGUUUUAAUAAAGGAAAAAAUAAAAUAAAUUUGACGGGAUCAAAAAGAUUCUCUAAAUUUCA